GGGAGCUUGGCUCAGUUGGAAGAGCGCAGGUCUCAUACGCUAGUAUGAUCUGAUUGACAAAAACAAUCAGAGUAAUCCUGAGGUCGUGAGUUCGAGCCUCACAGUUCCCA